GGAAGGCGCUGGCCGAUCUUAAGCUUCUGAUUCAGGAAGCUCUCAAUAACCACGACUUCACUGCCCCUCUACCCCCUCCCCCGGCCAAGGAAGAAGAGAAGCCGACCGAGGAAAAGAAGGAAGACUCUGACAAACCUGCCGAAGACCCUAAAAUCGAACAGGAAUCCGAAGCUGUACCCCAGGAACAACCUCUCAAGGAAGCUGUGGUCGAAGAGCCUCCCAAAUCCCAACCAGAACCAGAACCAGAGACUGUGACCGUCACGGUCACGGUGGAAGAUACAAUCACUCCUAAUCCCGCGCCCGAGACUUCCUUGGCUCCAAAACCCGAAGAGAAGGCGGAAGAGACGUCGAAGGUGGUGGAAAAAGU
rnacentral:lncRNA from 1 species